rnacentral:rRNA from 1 species
GAUUAAGCGCAGGAAAAGAAACCAACAGGGAUUGCCCCAGUAACGGCGAGUGAAGCGGCAACAGCUCAAAUUUGAAAUCUGGCUUCGGCCCGAGUUGUAAUUUGCAGAGGAAGCUUUAGGCGCGGCACCAUCUGAGUCCCCUGGAACGGGGCGCCACAGAGGGUGAGAGCCCCGUAUAGAUGGACGCCUAGCCUGUGUAAAGCUCCUUCGACGAGUCGAGUAGUUUGGGAAUGCUGCUCAAAAUGGGAGGUAAAUUUCUUCUAAAGCUAAAUACCGGCCAGAGACCGAUAGCGCACAAGUAGAGUGAUCGAAAGAUGAAAAGCACUUUGAAAAGAGGGUUAAAUAGCACGUGAAAUUGUUGAAAGGGAAGCGCUUGUGACCAGACUUGCACCGGGCGGAUCAUCCGGUGUUCUCACCGGUGCACUCCGCCCGGCUCAGGCCAGCAUCGGUUCUCGUGGGGGGAUAAAGGCCCCGGGAACGUAGCUCCUCCGGCAGUGUUAUAGCCCGGGGCGUAAUGCCCUCGCGGGGACCGAGGACCGCGCAUCUGCAAGGAUGCUGGCGUGAUGGUCAUCAGCGACCCGUCUUGAAACACGGACCAAGGAGUCAAGGUUUUGCGCGAGUGUUUGGGUGUAAAACCCGCACGCGUAAAAAAGUGAACGUAGGUGAGAGCUUCGGCGCAUCAUCGACCGAUCCUGAUGUUUUCGGCGGAUUGA